rnacentral:lncRNA from 1 species
CCUUGAAGUUCAGCCUCCUGGCCUCAAGUAAGGCAGAGGAAGAGAAUACAUAGAUCUGUGGAGAAGAGUGGUGAUGGUGGGAGCUGCCAAUAAAGAACUAUCAAAAAAGGGAAGAUUGCAGAUCACACUGCGCUUUGGGAGUCAAGUGGCAGACAGCUGUGGCUUCAGCUUCCAGCGGUCACACAACUCCAGAGGGACUGGAAGGUCAAGGGAAGCAUGUAGAACCGCAGGCUGUUCACGUGGCUUGGAGGAGGAGAUGACCCACCCUUAAUAAAACACCGUCUGCCGGACAUGCCAUUGGGACUGGCAUGCUAAUUGAAAACAGCAGGAGUGGCUCUGCAGCUCUUUGACUUUAGCACUCAGCUUAGCAUAACUUUUCCUUCCACAGGAAAGCAGUCCUCGGCCAGUAAAGCUGUGUUUCUUAAAAAAAGAAAAAAAUC